UUCUUUCUGGUCCUGGCAAACUGAGCCCAGAUUCUUGCAAAGACUGCUAGAUUCCAAAGAAGGGAAGCAAUGGACAGUCCUACACAGCCAUGAACCACAUCAACAAGCAGAAUGGCACUGUAACCCUAAAGGGCCCUUGUGAGGAUGUGAUCACCAGUUGGUCACCAUGGCAAGAAUGACAACACGAAGUGGCUCUACCAUGGAAGGACGGACAGAAAUGAUGCUUUGCCUUGAUACCUACUGGAGUAGAUCUAGUUUUCUCUGUUCUCAGAACAUUAAAAAGACUACUAGUUUAUUUGUACAGGAUGUCUUCUUGCACAAGUGUUUUGAAGCAACUAGCAAACAAAAAUCCCCAGGAACUCUCUGCCCAGCUCACCAUUAUAUUUGGACAGCUAUUGCCAGUGUGUACUUCUUAUGAAAUAGUGUGCCCAGACUCCUGUGUUAUCACUACCAGAUAAAAUAUAAACACCUGAAGAAGCCAUCAUUUUAUAUUACUUAUGAAUUUCCCCCAAGGCAUUUCUAAAUGUCUGCUCUUGAUGGUCAAGCCAGCAUACCUGUCUCCACUGGUCUCCAUCUUCAGCUGGCUCUGGUAGGCAUAUGCUUCUGCUUCAUCAUAGCUGCUCUGAUUAGGCCAUGCUGCUUUCCCGUUGACAUGGAGCUUUGCAAGAUCGCUUCGGAGCCUUUCAUUCUCAUAUUCCAGUUUGUUAAUUGAUGUGUACCGUGAAUGCGCCUUGUCAGUGAAGUCCACAUUCUAGGGAGUAAAACAAAUCCCCACUGAAUGACCUCACACAUGACAUGUGUUUUCCACAUGUUUGGACUCAUAACUUGGGAAGGCCUUUUCAUUUGAGCUAGGUGACAUGGUUUUUGUGAACUCUUUGUUCCCCUGGA